GUAGGUAGAGAAUACUAAGGCGUAGAGAUAAUACUUGUAAAGGAACUCGGCAAACUGUCUUCAUAAGUUAGACGAUAUGAAGAACCACUUAAUGUUAUUCCUUCCUUAACCUUCACAUUAUAAAACCUAUGCCGUAAGGCUAGGCUAGUAGUGUAGAUGGAUACUAGUCCACCAGUGAUGGUAGGCACAAGUAUAAUUAAGGUUGGAAAGUUAAUUAUCUUAUUUUAACCUAGUAUAAAAGCUAGGUAUAAGAUUUUUAAGGUUUUAUGGUAUCUAUUUCUAGACACCCUUUCAGGGAUUUUAGAAGUAGAGAUACGUAAGCUAAUAAGUAACAAUUAAGUGGUGGCACAGAAUCGGAGGCCCCGACUGUUUACUUAAAACACAGCUUUCUGCGACGAAUAAUAUCUUUGUAUAGAAAGCGAAUUUUGCCCAAUGCCAUUAAUAUAAGGUUGAUAAGCGCUUAGCGUAAUUAUUAAUUGAAGUUCUGGUCAAUGGCGGUCUUAUCUAUGAGGAUCCUAAGGUAGCAAAAUUAAUUGUCCAUUAAAUGUGGUCCUGACUGAAUAAAGUAACGAUGGUCUCGCUGUCUCUACAAGUAUCUCAGUGAAAUUGAAUUAGCCGUGCAGAUGCGGUUUAACUUCGGGUAGACGGGAAGACCCUA
rnacentral:rRNA from 1 species